rnacentral:rRNA from 1 species
CCUACGGGAGGCUGCAGUGGGGAAUAUUGCACAAUGGGCGCAAGCCUGAUGCAGCCAUGCCGCGUGUGUGAAGAAGGCCUUCGGGUUGUAAAGCACUUUCAGCGGGGAGGAAGGCGGUGAGGUUAACAACCUCAUCGAUUGACGUUACCCGCAGAAGAAGCACCGGCUAACUCCGUGCCAGCAGCCGCGGUAAUACGGAGGGUGCAAGCGUUAAUCGGAAUUACUGGGCGUAAAGCGCACGCAGGCGGUCUGUCAAGUCGGAUGUGAAAUCCCCGGGCUCAACCUGGGAACUGCAUUCGAAACUGGCAGGCUAGAGUCUUGUAGAGGGGGGUAGAAUUCCAGGUGUAGCGGUGAAAUGCGUAGAGAUCUGGAGGAAUACCGGUGGCGAAGGCGGCCCCCUGGACAAAGACUGACGCUCAGGUGCGAAAGCGUGGGGAGCAAACAGGAUUAGAUACCCUUGUAGUC